GGUUAGCUCAGUUGGUAGAGCGCUCCGCUGAAAAUAGAGAAAUCCCUGGUUUGAUACCAGAACC
rnacentral:tRNA from 1 species